AUUGAACGCUGGCGGCAUGCUUUACACAUGCAAGUCGAACGGUAGACCCCUUUCGGGGGUUGAGAGUGGCGAACGGGUGAGUAAUGCAUCGGAACGUGCCCAGUCGUGGGGGAUAACGUAGCGAAAGUUACGCUAAUACCGCAUACGCACUGAGGUGGAAAGCGGGGGACCGAAAGGCCUCGCGCGAUUGGAGCGGCCGAUGUCGGAUUAGCUAGUUGGUGGGGUAAAGGCCUACCAAGGCGACGAUCCGUAGCGGGUCUGAGAGGAUGAUCCGCCACACUGGGACUGAGACACGGCCCAGACUCCUACGGGAGGCAGCAGUGGGGAAUUUUGGACAAUGGGGGCAACCCUGAUCCAGCCAUGCCGCGUGCGGGAAGAAGGCCUUCGGGUUGUAAACCGCUUUCGGACAGAAAGAAUCGCAUGGGUUAAUACCCUGUGUGGAUGACGGUACUGUAAGAAGAAGCACCGGCUAACUACGUG
rnacentral:rRNA from 1 species